rnacentral:rRNA from 1 species
AUUGAACGCUGGCGGCAGGCCUAACACAUGCAAGUCGGACGGUAGCACAGAGAGCUUGCUCUCGGGUGACGAGUGGCGGACGGGUGAGUAAUGUCUGGGGAUCUGCCCGAUAGAGGGGGAUAACCACUGGAAACGGUGGCUAAUACCGCAUAACGUCGCAAGACCAAAGAGGGGGACCUUCGGGCCUCUCACUAUCGGAUGAACCCAGAUGGGAUUAGCUAGUAGGCGGGGUAACGGCCCACCUAGGCGACGAUCCCUAGCUGGUCUGAGAGGAUGACCAGCCACACUGGAGCUGAGACACGGUCCAGACUCCUACGGGAGGCAGCAGUGGGGAAUAUUGCACAAUGGGCGCAAGCCUGAUGCAGCCAUGCCGCGUGUAUGAAGAAGGCCUUCGGGUUGUAAAGUACUUUCAGCGGGGAGGAAGGCGAUGUGGUUAAUAACUGCAUUGAUUGACGUUACCCGCAGAAGAAGCACCGGCUAACUCCGUGCCAGCAGCCGCGGUAA